rnacentral:rRNA from 1 species
UACGGAGGGAGCUAGCGUUAUUCGGAAUUACUGGGCGUAAAGCGCACGUAGGCGGCUUUGUAAGUAAGAGGUGAAAGCCCAGAGCUCAACUCUGGAAUUGCCUUUUAGACUGCAUCGCUUGAAUCAUGGAGAGGUCAGUGGAAUUCCGAGUGUAGAGGUGAAAUUCGUAGAUAUUCGGAAGAACACCAGUGGCGAAGGCGGCUGACUGGACAUGUAUUGACGCUGAGGUGCGGAAGCGUGGGGAGCAAACAGG